rnacentral:rRNA from 1 species
AAUCAACGCUGGCGGCGUGCCUAACACAUGCAAGUCGAACGCGAAAGCCCCUUCGGGGGUAAGUAGAGUGGCGUCCGGGUGAGUAACACGUAGGUAAUCUACCUUCGGGUGGGGAAUAACUCGCCGAAAGGCGAGCUAAUACCGCAUAAUGCAGCGGCACCUAAUGGUGAUUAGUUGUUAAAGCGGGGGAUCGUAAGACCUCGCGCCUGAAGAGGAGCCUGCGGCAGAUUAGCUAGNGGUGAGGUAAUGGCUCACCAAGGCUUCGAUCUGUAGCUGGUCUGAGAGGACGGCCAGCCACACUGGCACUGACACACGGGCCAGACUCCUACGGAGGCAGCAGUGGGGAAUUUUGGGCAAUGGGCGCAAGCCUGACCCAGCAACGCCGCGUGAGGGAGGAAAUCCUUCGGGAUGUAAACCUCACAAGCAAGGGAAGAGAGC